rnacentral:ncRNA from 1 species
AUCUUCAGGGCAGGGUGAAAUUCCCGACCGGCGGUAGAGCCCGCGAGCCGAAAGGCUGAUUUGGUGAGAGUCCAAAGCCGACAGUACAGUCUGGAUGAAAGAGGAU